UACGUAGGUGACAAGCGUUAUCCGGAAUACUGGGCGUAAAGCGCACGCAAGCGGAAAGACAAGUCUGACGUGAAAUCUUCUGGCUUAACCAGGAGCGGUCGUUGGAAACUGUUUAUCUAGAGGCGAUGAGAGGGGUGCAGAAUUCCAGGUGUAGUGGUGGAAUGCGUAGAUAUCUGGAGGAAUACCAGUGGCGAAAGCGG
rnacentral:rRNA from 1 species